rnacentral:lncRNA from 1 species
AUAGGAUAAAUUAUUAUACAGAAAUUUGUAACUCUGCAAUUACUACAGGAUAAAAAAUUUAAUGAAUAUAUCUUACGAAAAAAGUAAAUUAUUAAAAGAUAUUGAAACAAAAUAUCCACGCACUAAUAAAAAUAGAUUCACUAGAAACCUACUAAAUCUAUUAUACCUAUUAAAUCCGCACACCCCCCUACAAAUCUAUUAUACCUAUUAAAUCCGCACACCCCCCUAC